rnacentral:rRNA from 1 species
AUGUCGCCGUCAGGAUCUGCAUCCUCCAUCGUCGCGGACACAACGGAAGGGUACCACUUUCUCACGAUCCGCGACUACUCCCGUACCAAGGGCGUCCCCACCGGAGAGCGGAUCGGUUCUCUUCCCUUCACAGUUGGUGGCCACUGCUGGCGCAUCUACUACUUCCCCAACGGUGUACGCUCGGAGGUCGCGGAUUACGUGUCCUUCUUCCUCGAGCUAGAUGAAGAUGUCCCGGCUACGGUGAAGGCCCAGGUUAAAAUUUGUUUCGCCGGCGAGGAGGAGGAGGCCGAGCAGGCGGCGUCGCUGGCGUUGGCAUCGGUGGACGAAUUCACCUCGCAGAAGUGCAGGCAGUACGAGAAAUUCAUCAAAAGGGAGAUCCUGGAGAACUCGAGGCAUCUAAAGAACGACUCUUUGAGCAUCCGGUGCGACAUCGCAGUCAUACACGGUUACCGUGGGGUGGACGGCACGACCGCCUUUAUUUGCGUGCUCCCAUGCGACGUGCGCCAGAACCUUGGAAAGUAUAUCGAGACCAACAAGCGCACCCACGAGGUGUUUGAGGUCGGUACUGAGAUCAUCGCCGUGCACUACUGCGUGCUUGUGGCAUGCUGGGCCUGCUCGCCGGUGUUGGAAGCCGAGCUCUAUGGAGCCAUUAAAGAGGACAACACUGCCGCUGCCGGCGUGGUGCACGUAGAAGGCAUGGAGGUGGAGGUGUUCAAGGCGCUGCUCGAUUUCGCGUACACGGGCCGUCUGCCGCAGACGUCCAAGGAAGACGACGAGGUCAUGUGUCAGCGUCUUCUAGUCGCGGCAGACAGGUAUGGCAUCGUGCAGCUGAAGCUAUUGUGCGAGGAGUGGAUGUGCAAGUACAUAGACGUGGGCACUGCUGCGACCAUCCUGGCGCUAGCUGAGCAAAACCACUGUGAGGGGCUCAGAAAGGCAUGCUUCGAUUUUCUCGCCGCUCCAGGAAACUGA